UACGGAGGGUGCAAGCGUUAUCCGGAUUCACUGGGUUUAAAGGGUGCGUAGGUGGGCAGGUAAGUCAGUGGUGAAAUCUCUGGGCUUAACCCGGAAACUGCCGUUGAUACUAUCUGUCUUGAAUAUAGUGGAGGUGAGCGGAAUAUGUCAUGUAGCGGUGAAAUGCUUAGAUAUCAUUUGGAACGCCAAUGGUGAAAACAGGUAGCUGGGAGUGUGCUGACGCUGAGACACGAAAGCCAGGGGAGCGAACGGG
rnacentral:rRNA from 1 species